rnacentral:rRNA from 1 species
UUUUGGGAGGAGUUUGAUCCUGGCUCAGAUUGAACGCUGGCGGCAGGCCUAACACAUGCAAGUCGAGCGGCAGCACAGAGAAACUUGUUUCUCGGGUGGCGAGCGGCGGACGGGUGAGUAAUGCCUGGGAAAUUGCCCUGAUGUGGGGGAUAACCAUUGGAAACGAUGGCUAAUACCGCAUGAUAGCUUCGGCUCAAAGAGGGGGACCUUCGGGCCUCUCGCGUCAGGAUAUGCCCAGGUGGGAUUAGCUAGUUGGUGAGGUAAUGGCUCACCAAGGCGACGAUCCCUAGCUGGUCUGAGAGGAUGAUCAGCCACACUGGAACUGAGACACGGUCCAGACUCCUACGGGAGGCAGCAGUGGGGAAUAUUGCACAAUGGGCGCAAGCCUGAUGCAGCCAUGCCGCGUGUGUGAAGAAGGCCUUCGGGUUGUAAAGCACUUUCAGUCGUGAGGAAGGUGGUGUUGUUAAUAGCAACAUCAUUUGACGUUAGCGACAGAAGAAGCACCGGCUAACUCCGUGCCAGCAGCCGCGGUAAUACGGAGGGUGCGAGCGUUAAUCGGAAUUACUGGGCGUAAAGCGCAUGCAGGUGGUUUGUUAAGUCAGAUGUGAAAGCCCGGGGCUCAACCUCGGAAUAGCAUUUGAAACUGGCAAGCUAGAGUACUGUAGAGGGGGGUAGAAUUUCAGGUGUAGCGGUGAAAUGCGUAGAGAUCUGAAGGAAUACCGGUGGCGAAGGCGGCCCCCUGGACAGAUACUGACACUCAGAUGCGAAGGCUCGC